rnacentral:rRNA from 1 species
UUUGUGGAGGGUUCGAUUCUGGCUCAGGAUGAACGCUGGCGGCGUGCUUNACACAUGCAAGUCGAACGGGAUCCAUCGGGCUUUGCUUGGUGGUGAGAGUGGCGAACGGGUGAGUAAUGCGUGACCGACCUGCCCCAUACACCGGAAUAGCUCCUGGAAACGGGUGGUAAUGCCGNAUGUUCCAGUUGAUCGCAUGGUCUUCUGGGAAACUUUCGCGGUAUGGGAUGGGGUCGNGUCCUAUCAGCUUGACGGCGGGGUAACGGCCNACCGUGGCUUCGACGGGUAGCCGGCCUGAGAGGGCGACCGGCCACAUUGGGACUGAGAUACGGCCCAGACUCCUACGGGAGGCAGCNGUGGGGAAUNUUGCACNAUGGGCGCAAGCCUGAUGCAGCGACGCNGCGUGAGGGAUGGAGGCUUCGGGUUGUAAACCUCUUUUNUCGGGGAGCAAGCNUNAGUGAGUUNACCCNUUGAAUNAGCACCGGCUAACUACGUGCCAGCAGCCGCGGUAAUACGUAGGGUGCNAGCGUNAUCCGGAAUUAUUGGGCGUNAAGGGCUCGUAGGCGGUUCGUCGCGUCCGGUGUGAAAGUCCAUCGCUUAACGGUGGAUCCGCGCCGGGUACGGGCGGGCUUGAGUGCGGUAGGGGAGACUGGAAUUCCCGGUGUAACGGUGGAAUGUGUAGAUAUCGGGAAGAACACCAAUGGCGAAGGCAGGUCUCUGGGCNGUUACUGACGC